GGACUACUGGGGUUUCUAAUCCUGUUCGCUCCCCACGCUUUCGCUCCUCAGUGUCAGUAAUGGCCCAGAGUCCUGCCUUCGCCAUUGGUGUUCCUCCUGAUAUCUGCGCAUUCCACCGCUACACCAGGAAUUCCAGACUCCCCUACCAUACUCAAGCUCGCCCGUAUCGAAUGCAGGUCUGGGGUUAAGCCCCAGAUUUUCACAUCCGACGUGACGAACCACCUACGAGCUCUUUACGCCCAAUAAUUCCGGACAACGCUUGCACCCUAUGUAUUACCGCGGCGGCUGGCAC
rnacentral:misc_RNA from 1 species